rnacentral:rRNA from 1 species
AGUGAACGCUGGCGGUAGGCCUAACACAUGCAAGUCGAACGGCAGCACAGUAAGAGCUUGCUCUUACGGGUGGCGAGUGGCGGACGGGUGAGGAAUACAUCGGAAUCUACUUUUUCGUGGGGGAUAACGUAGGGAAACUUACGCUAAUACCGCAUACGACCUACGGGUGAAAGCAGGGGAUCUUCGGACCUUGCGCGAUUGAAUGAGCCGAUGUCGGAUUAGCUAGUUGGCGGGGUAAAGGCCCACCAAGGCGACGAUCCGUAGCUGGUCUGAGAGGAUGGUCAGCCACACUGGAACUGAGACACGGUCCAGACUACUACGGGAGGGAGCAGUGGGGAAUAGUGGACAAUGGGCGCAAGCCUGAUCCAGCCAUACCGAGUGGGUGAAGAAGGCCUUCGGGUUGGAAAGCCCUUUUGUUGGGAAAGAAAAGCAGCAGGUUAAUACCCCGCUGUUCUGACGGUACCCAAAGAAUAAGCACCGGCUAACUUCGUG